CACUGGUGACAGAUGACACACAAACAUGUUACAUGUAUUGUGCAUUGAUUGACGGGUAAAACCAUGGUAAAACCAAAACUUUGUGCUUUACCAGUCUGAAAUUAAGUUUAAUUUUCAGUAAAGGGUCUAAAUGUUUGUGACUAACCUAAGCCCUCCUACGUGUACACGCUCGACGCAGCUAGCCAACUUUAUUGUCACGCGUGCAAUAGAGUACCUAUUAUAGGCCAAGUUCGGCCUGGCCAGCCAGGGUUCACGCUAGACAACGUCAACGAUUUAUUUGGGGUCGCCGUCAUCGAAAACGAUGAGGAGGAGGAGGACUAUACUUACUAACGAUGACACGGCACCGCCGCGUAAAACAAACCUAUGCCGAAAAUCAUAGUUUCAAGUAUUUUGAAUGCUGUAGCCAGAAGACUGCCAGACAAAUGUGGAUUAAUAAGGUUGUGGAGAUAAAAAAAAAUACAUCCACACUACAGCAUCCGAAAUCUCAAAAUCAUUUGCUUCUAUAUCGAAGAGCUCUCUGGAUUUUUUUGAUGACUUUCCGGUCACUUAUCUUGACAUAAAUGCUGAAGGAAUUAAUUAUGUCACUUUAAAAGGAGACGAAGAGCAGGACGGUAUUAUAAAACAAAGUUAAACAUCACGGCCCGAAGACCACCCAAAUGAUGAAAAUGUAUUAACUAGGUUCAGUUCUUUUCAAAUUUGUAUUAAGGGGAGAAAAUCCAAAAUUAAAAUUCAGAUAAAAACUUUAAUGUUUUAAGAAAUUGUAAGUCAUUUCAAGUUUUAGACAUUUUGAAACAAAAAAAUGUUUUGAGAAGAAUGUGUUUGACAGAUGGUAAAGCUGCGAGGAAUGUGUUUGUAAGAACCAAUACAAAUUGUCCUCCAGGACUGCGCUGAGUGAGGAUAGGUAAUUGAAGUAAUUCUAAUAUUCACUCUAAAGAAACAAAUCUACCUCUCUACGCAUCCUUGCACAUCUCUGAUGGAAUCAUGGUCCUUGCUAAUCUUUGGUGGAAUACCUCAUAGCCU